rnacentral:rRNA from 1 species
UACGGAGGGGGCAAGCGUUGUUCGGAAUUACUGGGCGUAAAGGGCUCGUAGGUGGCCAACUAAGUCGGACGUGAAAUCCCUCGGCUUAACCGGGGAACUGCAUCCGAUACUGGAUGGCUUGAGUUCGGGAGAGGGAUGCGGAAUUCCAGGUGUAGCGGUGAAAUGCGCAGAUAUCAGGAAGAACACCCGUGGCGAAGGCGGCCCGCUGGGCAGGAAGGGGUGGGUAACCACCCGGCUGACACUGAGGCGCGACAGCGUGGGGAGCAAACAGG